rnacentral:rRNA from 1 species
CUUGUCCAAUGGGCGAAAGCCUGAGACAGCAACGCCGCGUGGAGGAUGAAGGCUUUCGGGUUGUAAACUCCUGUCAGAGGGGGCGAAGUCAUACGGGUAAAUAAUCCGUAUGAUUGACGGUACCCUCAAAGGAAGCCCCGGCUAAUUACGUGCCAGCAGCCGCGGUAAUACGUAUGGGGCAAGCGUUGCUCGGAUUAACUGGGCGUAAAGGGCGCGUAGGCUGGCUUCUAAGUCAGAUGUGAAAUCCAAUGGCUCAACCAUUGAACUGCAUUUGAAACUGGGAGCCUAGAGUUCAGAAGGGGCAGAUGGAAUUAGUGGUGUAGGGGUAAAAUCCGUAGAUAUCACUAGGAAUAUCAAAAGCGAAGGCGAUCUGCUGGGAUGAUACUGACGCUGAGGCACGAAAGCGUGGGGAGCAAACAGGAUUAGAUACACCANUANUC